CGCACGUAGUAGGCGCUUAAGAAAUAAUUGUUGAAUGACUUCUUAGACGCCACCUUAAGCUCACUGCCCUCGACUUGAGUAAGGAGGGAGAUUGAAGAUUUCGAUGCUGAAACUGAGGCCUAGAGAGACUAAGUGAUUUGCCUGAGUUUUAUCGUUCUGAUUGACUAAUUGGGCUGGAGGAAGAGACAGGAAGAACUCUGAUUGAACUUCAAGGUUUUCAGGUGACUGAUAUGCAAAAAGAAAGGACCCAGGUAUUCUUAGAAGAAUGAUGCAUCAUCUAACCUCACCGUAGUAUCUAUCUGUCCUUAUUCCCUCAAAAAAGUGAAG